rnacentral:rRNA from 1 species
ACGCUCGACACCUACGGGAGCAGCAGUCGGGAAUAUUGCGCAAUGGAGGAAACUCUGACGCAGUGACGCCGCGUGCAGGAAGAAGGUUUUCGGAUUGUAAACUGCUUUAGACAGGGAAGAAAGAAAUGACAGUACCUGUAGAAUAAGCUCCGGCUAACUACGUGCCAACAGCCGCGGUAAUCUGAGCGGGCUGGCAAGGC